rnacentral:rRNA from 1 species
UGGGGAAUUUUGGACAAUGGGCGAAAGCCUGAUCCAGCAAUGCCGCGUGUGUGAAGAAGGCCUUCGGGUUGUAAAGCACUUUUGUCCGGAAAGAAAUCCUUGGCUCUAAUACAGUCGGGGGAUGACGGUACCGGAAGAAUAAGCACCGGCUAACUACGUGCCAGCAGCCGCGGUAAUACGUAGGGUGCAAGCGUUAAUCGGAAUUACUGGGCGUAAAGCGUGCGCAGGCGGUUUGCUAAGACCGAUGUGAAAUCCCCGGGCUCAACCUGGGAACUGCAUUGGUGACUGGCAGGCUAGAGUAUGGCAGAGGGGGGUAGAAUUCCACGUGUAGCAGUGAAAUGCGUAGAGAUGUGGAGGAAUACCGAUGGCGAAGGCAGCCCCCUGGGCCAAUACCGACGCUCAUGCACGAAAGCGUGGGGAGCAAACAGGAUUAGAUACCCUGGUAGUCCACGCCCUAAACGAUGUCAACUAGUUGUUGGGGAUUCAUUUCCUUAGUAACGUAGCUAACGCGUGAAGUUGACCGCCUGGGGAGUACGGUCGCAAGAUUAAAACUCAAAGGAAUUGACGGGGUCAUAGCUGUUUCCU